CAUGGGGGAUAACGUAGCGAAAGUUACGCUAAUACCGCAUAUGCCCUGAGGGGGAAAGGUGGGGAUCGCAAGACCUAUCGUUUUCGGAGUGGCCGAUAUCAGAUUAGCUAGUUGGUGGGGUAAAGGCCCACCAAGGCGACGAUCUGUAGCGGGUCUGAGAGGAUGAUCCGCCACACUGGGACUGAGACACGGCCCAGACUCCUACGGGAGGCAGCAGUGGGGAAUUUUGGACAAUGGGGGCAACCCUGAUCCAGCCAUGCCGCGUGAGUGAAGAAGGCCUUCGGGUUGUAAAGCUCUUUCAGCCGGAAAGAAAUCGCGCAGGCUAAUAUCCUGCGUGGAUGACGGUACCGGAAGAAGAAGCACCGGCUAACUACGUGCCAGCAGCCGCGGUAAUACGUAGGGUGCGAGCGUUAAUCGGAAUUACUGGGCGUAAAGCGUGCGCAGGCGGUUUUGUAAGACAGGCGUGAAAUCCCCGGGCUUAACCUGGGAACUGCGUUUGUGACUGCAAGGCUAGAGUGUGGCAGAGGGGGGUAGAAUUCCG
rnacentral:rRNA from 1 species